rnacentral:rRNA from 1 species
CUUUACUGCAACUUUGCAGUGGUGCCAGGAAUGGAAUGUGUAGGAUAGGUGGGAGCCUUUGAAGCGGUGGCGCCAGCCAUCGUGGGGGAAACCUUGAAAUACCACCCUUUUAGUUUUUGGCAUCUAACCGAGCCCCGUAUAUCCGGGGCCGGGACCCUGCAUGGUGGGCAGUUUGACUGGGGCGGUCGCCUCCCAAAGUGUAACGGAGGCGCGCGAUGGUAGGCUCAAGCUGGUCGGAAAUCAGCUUUUAGAGUGCAAUGGCAUAAGCCUGCCUGACUGCGAGACUGACAAGUCGAGCAGAGACGAAAGUCGGCCAUAGUGAUCCGGUGGUCCCGUGUGGAAGGGCCAUCGCUCAACGGAUAAAAGGUA